GCCCAAGCCCACGUGACAACACCCCUCGUAUUCUCAACUAAAACCCUAGCCCCACAGCCCCGACUCCCGACAGUUCCUUCGGUCUCAUCGCAACUGCGAAGCUCCCCCCAGUUCCCACGGUUUCCCCCACGACGCCGGCGAUGGGCAAGCGGAAACAGCGCGGCGGCGGCGACGGAGAACCCGCCGCGGAAGGCGGUGCUGGCGGAGGACACAGCCCCUCCACCGUGUUCGUUUCCAACCUCCCCUACACCUUCAAGUCCUCCGAUCUCGAGGCGGUGUUUAGCGAGGUCGGCCCAGUGCGGCGCUGCUUUAUGGUCGCGGAGAAAGGGUCGGAGAAGAGUCGAGGCUUCGGGUUCGUGCAAUUUGCAACUGUUCAAGAUGCUGAUCGAGCUCUUCAACAAAAGAAUGGAUCUCCUGUUGCUGGUAGGAAAAUCAGAGUUAAGCUAGCAAUGAAUCGUGCUCCACUGAAGGAACGUUUGCAAAAGGGGAAUAUGCAAGUGAAGGACUCUGAUGCAAAAGAUGAAGCAGACGAAAUUUCUCCUGCUGAAAAGCAUAAGGGGAAAUCUCAUAAAACAGAUCCAGAGCAACUGCAUUUGUUGUCAAAUGAUGCUAAGGUAUCAAAGGAAGCUCCCAUUGGCGACUCCGAAAAAGUGAAAAAUUCUGAAAAGCAAAGGGUUGCAAAGACGGUGAUUUUUGGUGGCCUGCAAGACUCCGCCAUGGCAACCGAGGUUUUCCGUCAAGCUCGAGAGAUUGGUUCAGUUGUAUCUGUAAACUAUCCACUUCCCAAAGAGGAAAUGAGAUUCAAUGGACUUGCUCGAGAUGGAUGCACAUCAGAUAUGGCAGCUGUACUCUUUGCAAGUGUCAAAUCAGCUUGGGAUUCUGUUGUCCAACUGCAUAAUAAGGAAGUCAAGGGAGCUACUGUUUGGGCUCGUCAACUUGGCGGAGAGGGCUCAAAGAUCAGAAAAUGGAGAGCGAUUGUCAGGAACCUGCCAUUCAAGAUUACAGAGAAGGAGAUCGUGGAUAUGUUUAGUUCAGCAGGGUUUGUCUGGGAUGUGACAAUUCCACAUAAGUCUGAUGAGGGGAUAUCAAAAGGCUUUGCUUUUGUAUCUUUCACACGGAAGCAAGAUGCAGAAAAUGCUAUAAAAAAUAUUAAUGGAAAAGAUGUUGCAAAGAGACCAGUGGCUGUUGAUUGGGCUGUUCCGAAAAAAGUCUACACUGUUGCUGCAAAAGUUGAUGCUAAGGAUAAUGAGCCUGAGAAUAUACCUGACAAUGUCAGUGAUGAUGACACCUCUGAUGAUAAUCUUGUUGGAGAAGCUAGCUUUGAACUUGAUCAGGAGACUUCUAACCGUCCAUCUGAGGAUGAUUUUGAAACUGAAGCAGAUAUUUCUAAAAAAGUUCUUGAGAAUUUGAUCAAGUCAUCAGAGAAGUCCGAACCAUCUGGCAUUGAAGGUUCGGACAUUGGUACCGACACUGAAACAGAAGAUGAUACAUCAGAAAAGGAGAAAUCUGAUUCACCUGUAGCUGACAAGCUGGUUAAGUCGAAACGUGUAACAGAUGCAGAAAUCAGUAAUCCUGCUUCCAAACCCAAGAAAAAUGAUACUGGCCUGGAUAGGACUAUAUUUAUUAGCAACCUUCCUUUUGAUAUAAGUAAUGAGGAGGUAACAGCGCGCUUCUCAGUCUUUGGGAAGGUUGAAUCUUUCUUCCCGGUUCUUCAUAAACUUACUAAGAGACCUAGAGGUACUGGUUUCAUGAAGUUUUCUACAACAGAGGCAGCUGAUGCAGCAAUUUCUGCUGCCAGUGUUGCUCCUGGCUUAGGAAUUUCUUUAAAGAGCAGGCCACUUAAUGUCAUGAAAGCGAUGGACAAGGAGUCAGCUCACAAAAAGGCACUUGAGAAGGCAAAGACUGAGGUCGAGGAUCGACGGAACCUAUACUUGGCUAAGGAGGGUGAAAUACUUGCUGGAAUACCAGCUGCAGAAGGUGUGUCAGAUGCUGACAUGAAUAAACGUAAUUGGUUAGCUAGAAGGAAAGCGGAGAUGCUUCAGUCUCCAAAAUUUCAUGUGUCGAGAACAAGGCUUAUCAUCUACAAUUUGCCUAAGACUAUGACCAUUAAUGACGUAAAGAAGCUUUGCAGAGAAGCAGUCAUUUCUCGUGCUACAAAACAAAAUCCUGUCAUCCGGAAGGUGAAUAUCCUGAAGAAUGAAAAGAAAGGCAUACAGAAGCAUUCACGCGGUGUAGCCUUUGUUGAUUUUCAAGAACAUGAACACGCUCUUGUUGCUCUAAGGGUUCUAAACAACAAUCCUGUUCCAUCUUCGUCAGAUCCAAUCGUGAAGGCAAACAGUGCCAGCAGCUUCCCGCCGACGGCUCACACCCACACGGGCACAUGAGGUGGCCAGCUCUUCGGCAGCUGCGGCCACUGGCACGUGUGAUGCUUCUGUGGCUUCAAUGGUUUAUUCGCGCAUGCGAGGCUCCAUGAGACAGUGGUGAUGGACUGAUGGUGUCUCGUGAUGCGCUUGGCGAGGCAGCUAUGGCCGGCGGAGCAGAUGGAGGCGGCACAACUAUGUGGGGUUGAGAAACUUUUGGUUCAGAACGUCGCCCAAUUGUAGAGUUUGCGCUUGAGGAUGUUGAAAAGGUGAGGCUUCAGAAGAUUCGAAUGGAACGGCAUCGCAAGUCAGCAGCAGAAACUGCAGAAGUUCAGCAGACCCCUUCAGGGGAUCAACCUGCAAGUGAAGGCCGUAACGCAGAUAACAGCAGGACUUUCAGAAAAGGAAACAAGCGGAAAUCACACAGUUUACCAUCUAAACCCUCCGACUCUGUUGAAGGGCUGGCCAAGGAUCCUCUAGUUCCUGGAGUUCGAAACGCGAAAGCUGCAAAGAGAGCAAGGAAGUCAAAUGUGGGGACCAUUUUGCCGGACCGAGGUCUAACAGCUGCAACCCCAAACACUGCUCAGAAUCAAGUUGCGUCAAGUGAGCUUGAUCAGGCAGCUGCUCCAAAGAAAAGAAAAAACAGAAAAGACGGUCAGGCAGAGCAAAAGAGAGGAAAGGUUACAAAAAGGACAAGGAAAGAACCUUCCGGGGAAGGAGGCGUGGACAAGUCGCUGGUGGAGCAGUACCGUUUCAAGUUCUUGCAACAUGGUGUGAGCAAGACCAAGACCAAGACCAAAGGAUAGUUGACUUGGGAACUGUGGGAAGUGGGAUUGAUGUUGAAGAGCAGCACGGUGUCCCGGACCACCGUAUAACGUUUCGAAGAGCAAGUCUCCACAAACUUUCUGAGGCCAAAAUUUCGAUUGUGAUGCUUAAUAGUUUUGUGUCCAUCUGUACUGAUAUUUAUAACUGAUCUAGUUACAGCCGUAUAAUUAUGAAUCAUCUUAUCAUACACCGUUUAUGGCUUCAUGA